UACGCUUUAGAGGCUGUCUCUGUGUACUACAGAAGGCAGAUAUGAAAAUGGAUAUAUUGAGAGUAGCUCAUCGGACUCUUUAUACUAUUUAUCCAGGUGAAACCAAAAUGUAUCGAGAUCUAAAGCAAAAUUUUUGGUGGAAAAGGAUGAAAGUGGAUAUUACUAAGUAUGUUGCAGCUUGUGGUGUCUGCCAACAAGUAAAGGCUGAACAUAAAAGACCUGCAGGAUUAAUGCAAUCCUUAGAAAUCCCAGAAUAGAAAUGGGAACAUAUCGCUAUGGACUUCGUUGUUGGGGUUGCCUCGUUCCCCUCGAGGCAGAGAUACUAUUUAGGUUGUCGUGCAUAAGCUUACAAAAUUCGCACAUUUCAUCCCAAUAAAGACAACCAGUUCAGCACAUGAUUUAGCUCCCUUGUAUAUUCGGGAAAUAGUGAGGUUGCAUGGUGUGCCAAAAUCGAUCAUUUCAGAUCGAGAUUCCAAAUUUGUAUCCCAGUUUUAGCAGAGUUUGCUUAUAAUAAUAGCUAUCAAGCUAGUAUUCGGAUGGCUCCCUUUGAGGCUUUGUAUGGUCGAAUGUGUGUUUUCCCUUUGUGUUGGGAUUCUGUUGGAGAGAGAUCACUACUUGAUCCAGAUUUGGUUCAGCAAACAUCAGAAAAGGUAUACCAAAUACGUCAGAACAUGUUGGCUGUUCAAAGUCGACAGAAGAGCUAUGCAGAUAUCCGGAGACGAGAUCUAGAAUUUUCAGUUGGUGACUAUGUUCUUCUCAGAGUGUCGCCAACCAAAAGGUGUUGUACGUUUUGGUAUCUCUGGAAAGCUUAACCCGAGAUACAUUGGUCCAUUUCUAAUCACAGCCCGAGUAGGCAGUUUGGCGUAUCGUCUUGAAUUACCAGACUCAAUGAGUGGAGUACAUAAUGUCUCCAAUGUUUCUAUGCUAAGAAAAUAGCUGAGAGACCCUGAGCAUAAAAUUGAUGCGGAAUCAAUCAUGAUAGAGAAAGACCUGACCGUAAAGUGCCACCCAGUACGUAUUCUGGAUUUCUCAGAGCGAGUCAUGAGAAGAAGAACUAUCAAGUUUGUGAGAGUCCUUUGGACAAAUCAAACAGAACGAGAAGCAACUUGGGAACUUGAAGAACGAAUGCACAAGGAGUGUCCGGAGCUCUUUGAGGCUAAUGAGUCAUAAGUUUUGAAAUAUUUUACUUCUGUUCCAUAGUUGCCAUGGAAGCGGCAGAAUUCGGGGACGAAUUCUUUUAAGGAGGGAAGAAUGUAAUACUAAAUUUUUCGAGAAAAAAAAACAGAGAGAGAUUUGACAAAAAGUUGACUUUUUGAUCCGUUGCUCGUAUGGACGAUCGGAGACCGCGGUUGCGUUCAUCUCGUCGAGACGAACCCAUUUUGCUAUUCAUAUGUCCGUUCCGAGCACUUUGUGACCCGUAGCAAGCCUAAUAAAUUUAGACCGUUGGUUGUUUUAUAAAAAAAUAAAAAAAAAUUGGAUAAAUACCGGAUGGAUCGGCCCUCAACCCGAUCCAUCCAGCCUCGUGUUUAUCCACUCGCUCAUUUCUUUCUUUCUCUCUCUCUCCCAGCCAGCUUGUGCCGUGCUGUCGCCGAGCGCCGUCGUCCACCUGCCGUCGCCGGCCUGCUCGUCGCCGCCACCGCCGCGCCGCUGUUGCUCGCCGUCGCGCUGCCGCGCGCCUGCGUGCUGCGCUGCGUGCUGCCGCCGCCGCGUGCUGCUGUCUGCUUGCCGUGCGUGCGCGUCGCGUGCUGCUGCGUGUCGCUGCCGAGCCGUCGUGUCGUCGUGCCGCUGUGCUUUGUGCCGGCUGCCGCAUGCUGUGCACUAACCGAAGCAAGCCAGGAAGAGAGAAGCUAGAUGAAGCAAGGAAGAAAGAAAGAAGAAGCAAGAAAGAAGAAGCCAGGAAGGAAGAAAGGAAAAGAAGGAAAGAAAAGAAAAGAAAGAGAAAAGAAAAAAGGAGAAAAAGGGAAAAAGGGGAAAAGAGGAGAAAGUUGGAAAUUUCGUAAUUUUGUUGGAUUCCUCGUCGAUUCCAUCGAAGGUGAUUCCUCGGUGGUACUAUUUCCGGACGUUCUUGAUCGAAUUUUCUUCAUCGUCGGUAAAGGCAAGUGAAUGUAUUGUAUGACUAUGCUUUAACCUAAUAUUGGGUUGCCUACAUUCUUUAAUUACAGUGCAUUCAUCUAAUCUGAAUGACUGAUUCUGGGCUGAGCACUAUGUUGUUUACGUUUCCAGAAGUUUACUCGAUGAUUGAUUUAUGAAGUGCAGUAUGUUUAGAUGUUGACGUGCAUUUUGGGGAUGGAUCUUGGUAGCUGCACACACUACCUCAUCACCUUGUUGGUAGCUCAACCGGUGUUAUAAAUGGUGUUUUUGGUGGUCUGUCGUUUGCUUGGUUCAUGUUGUGGUGAGACGCUGGUAGCGUCGUGAAGGUUAUAUAUAUGCUGGUUAUAUCUGUUUCUGCCUGUCUGUGAUAUUUCUUUUGGUCAGUUAUACCUCUUUAUAGAGGAAAUGCUGCCAAAAUGUCCUAUUUUUCAUAUAAAUAGGCUUAGUUGUAAAGUAGGGUGUUACAGCUUGGUAUCAGAGCCUAGGCUUUAGAUCCUAGGUAAUUGAAUUAUAAACCUGACACACUUGCACAAAUAGGAUGGGUAUGGGAUGCAUUGCAUUGCAUACGUCUUGUUUAUCUUUGUUCGCUUAUGUUCACUAUCUCAUAUAAGUACUAUUGAAGUUGUUUGUUUGAUUGUCCACAUAUUCUUUAGUGUUUUAUCGUUGAUAUAUAUUGUUAAAUUGUUGAAGUUAGUUCCGUUGGAAUGGUGAAAUUGUCAGGGCGUUAAAUUUGUUACCUUGGCCAUUAGAACCUGAGAAGCUUCAGAGGAUCAAUAGUAUAAUUGUUGUAUGUCACUGCAGAUGGGUUAAGUGGAGGGCCCCCAUGAUGCCUUUUCUGCAUUGCCAGGUGAGGUUGACCAAGAGUUAGGUUUGCGAUCCAAUUAUCCACAUACAGAGCGAAUA